rnacentral:rRNA from 1 species
CUUGGUCAUUUAGAGGNAGUAAAAGUCGUAACAAGGUUUCCGUAGGUGAACCUGCGGAAGGAUCAUUAUCGAAAUUAUUGGUGAGGGUUGUAGCUGGCCUUUCGAGGCAUGUGCACGCUCGAGCCCUUAAUCCACUUUACACCUGUGCACUUAAUGUAGGUCGCCCUCAAAAAAGGUGACCUAUGUCUUAUCAUCAACCCAUCGUAUGUCUCAUAGAAUGUAAUCGAUAUCCUCGCCCUAAAAAAGCGUUGAUAAACUUAUACAACUUUCAACAACGGAUCUCUUGGCUCUCGCAUCGAUGAAGAACGCAGCGAAAUGCGAUAAGUAAUGUGAAUUGCAGAUUUUCAGUGAAUCAUCGAAUCUUUGAACGCACCUUGCGCUCCUUGGUAUUCCGAGGAGCAUGCCUGUUUGAGUGUCAUUAAAUUCUCAACUCCAAGGGUUUCACGACCUUUCGGAGAUUGGACUUGGAGGUGCUGGCCGCAUAUUGGUCGGCUCCUCUCAAAUGCAUCAGCGGAAUUCAACCUUUGGCUUCCGGAUGUCAGUGUGAUAAUCAUGUUGCGCUGUCGUUUGAUCCCUCAGAGUCCGCUUAUAAUGGUCUUCGGACAAAAUCAUCAUCAAAUUUGACCUCAAAUCAGGUAGGACUACCCGCUGAACUUAAGCAUAUCAAUAAGCGGAGGA